UACGUAGGGGGCUAGCGUUGUCCGGAAUCAUUGGGCGUAAAGCGCGUGUAGGCGGUCCGGUAAGUCCGCUGUGAAAGUCGAGGGCUCAACCCUCGAAUGCCGGUGGAUACUGUCGGGCUUGAGUACGGGAGAGGCGAGUGGAAUUCCUGGUGUAGCGGUGAAAUGCAUAGAUAUCAGGAGGAACACCGGUGGCGAAGGCGGCAUCCUGGACCAACACUGACGCUGAUGAGCGAAAGCCAGGGGAGCAAACGGG
rnacentral:rRNA from 1 species